UCAAAGCAAGCUAGCUCAGUCGGUAGAGCAUGAGACUCUCAUUCUCAGGGACAUGGGUUUGAGGGUCACGUUGGGCAAAA